AUUGAACGCUGGCGGCGUGCCUAACACAUGCAAGUCGAGCGGUAACAGGCGUAGCAAUACGUGCUGACGAGCGGCGAACGGGUGAGUAAUGCUUCGGAAUCUGCCCAGUAGUGGGGAAUAACCAUCCGAAAGGAUGGCUAAUACCGCAUACGUCCUACGGGAGAAAGCGGGGGAUCGUAAGACCUCGCGCUAUUGGAUGAGCCGAAGCCGGAUUAGCUAGUUGGUAGGGUAACGGCCUACCAAGGCGACGAUCCGUAGCUGGUCUGAGAGGACGACC
rnacentral:rRNA from 1 species